AGCAGCCGCGGUAAUUCCAGCUCCAAUAGCGUAUAUUAAAGUUGUUGCAGUUAAAAAGCUCGUAGUUGAAUUUCGGGAUCAAUACGUUGGUCGUGCUUUCGGGUACGUACUGGCGUCAUUGGUUUCUCUCUUCUGACGAACCAUGAUGUCAUUAGUUUGGUGUUUAUGGGGAGUUAGGACUGUUACUUUGAAAAAAUUAGAGUGUUUAAAGCAGGCAUUAGCUUGAAUACAUUAGCAUGGAAUAAUGAAAUAGGACGUUUGAUCCUAUUUUGUUGGUUUCUAGGAUCGACGUAAUGAUUAAUAGGGAUAGUUGGGGGCAUUAGUAUUCAAUUGUCAGAGGUGAAAUUCUUGGAUUUAUUGAAGACUAACUACUGCGAAAGCAUUUUGCCAAGGAUGUUUUCAUUAAUCAAGAACGAAAGUUAGGGGAUCGAAGACGAUCAGAUACCGUCGUAGUCUUAACCAUAAACUAUGCCGACUAGGGAUCGGAUGAUGUUAAUUUUUUUCAGUGACUCAUUCGGCG
rnacentral:rRNA from 1 species